rnacentral:rRNA from 1 species
UGGGGAAUCUUGCACAAUGGGGGAAACCCUGAUGCAGCGACGCCGCGUGAGCGAUGAAGGUUUUCGUAUCGUAAAGCUCUGUCCUAUGGGAAGAUAAUGACGGUACCAUGGGAGGAAGCCCCGGCUAACUACGUGCCAGCAGCCGCGGUAAUACGUAGGGGGCGAGCGUUGUCCGGAAUUACUGGGCGUAAAGGGUUCGCAGGCGGCAUGGCAAGUCCGAUGUAAAAGGCGCAGGCUCAACCUUCGUAAGCAUCGGAAACUGUCAAGCUAGAGUGAAGGAGGGGCAAGUGGAAUUCCUAGUGUAGCGGUGGAAUGCAUAGAUAUUAGGAGGAAUACCGGUGGCGAAGGCGAAUUGCUGGACUUCAACUGACGCUGAGGAACGAAAGCGUGGGUAGCAAACAGG